UUAGGCCGGUGAUUCCCAGAUCAGUUGACCUUAGGGCACCAGAUUUUGAAAUAUCCUUACAGGCUUACUUGCUCGAGUCAUAAAGGCUGAAAAAGAAGUGUCUUAUUCUCACAAAUUAAGUUCAUGCCCUUAUUUUUCUAGACAUUUGGUAUCCAAAACUAACCCUCAAUUUAAGAUUUUCACCUACUCUUCAUCCCACUGGUCUAGGCAAU
rnacentral:lncRNA from 1 species